UACGAAGGGGGCAAGCGUUGUCCGGAAUCAUUGGGCGUAAAGCGCGUGUAGGCGGCCCGGUAAGUCCGCUGUAAAAGUCCAGGGCUCAACCCUGGAAAGCCGGUGGAUACUGUCGGGCUCGAGUCCGGAAGAGGCGAGUGGAAUUCCUGGUGUAGCGGUGAAAUGCGCAGAUAUCAGGAGGAACACCGAUGGCGAAGGCAGCUCGCUGGGACGGUACUGACGCUGAGACGCGAAAGCGUGGGGAGCAAACAGG
rnacentral:rRNA from 1 species